rnacentral:rRNA from 1 species
CCAGCAGCUGCGGUAAUUCCAGCUCUAAUAGCGUAUAUUAAAGUUGUUGCAGUUAAAAAGCUCGUAGUCGGAUGUCGGGCUCGGGCGGGCCGUUGGCCUCUGGUCAAUGCGCCUUCUCGGGUCUUUCUGCCUGAGGAAUCCACUUUCCUUCACGGGGCGGUGGGGGAUGCAGGCCGUUUACUUUGAAAAAAUUAGAGUGUUCAAAGCAGGCCUACGCUUGAAUACAUUAGCAUGGAAUAAUGGAAUAGGACUUUGGUGCUAUUUUGUUGGUUUAUAGGACCGAAGUAAUGAUUAACAGGGACAGUUGGGGCCGUUUAUAUUUCGUUGUCAGAGGUGAAAUUCUUGGAUUUACGAAAGAUAAACUUCUGCGAAAGCAUUCGGCAAGGAUGUUUUCAUUGAUCAAG